UACGUAGGGGGCAAGCGUUGUCCGGAUUUAUUGGGCGUAAAGAGCGUGUAGGCGGCCAGAUAGGUCUGCUGUGAAAACUCGAGGCUCAACCUCGAGCUGUCGGCGGAAACCAUCUGGCUAGAGUCCGGAAGAGGAGAGUGGAAUUCCCGGUGUAGCGGUGAAAUGCGUAGAGAUGUGGAGGAACACCGAUGGCGAAGGCAGCCCCCUGGGUCAAGAUUGACGCUCAUGCACGAAAGCGUGGGGAGCAAACAGG
rnacentral:rRNA from 1 species